GCGUCGGUAGUGCAACGCUUCAGCACGCGCUCUCGGAAAGAGUGAAAUCAGGGUUCGAGUCCCAGCUGCCGCA